rnacentral:rRNA from 1 species
UACGUAGGUGGCAAGCGUUGUCCGGAAUUAUUGGGCGUAAAGCGCGCGCAGGCGGUCUCUUAAGUCUGAUGUGAAAGCCCACGGCUCAACCGUGGAGGGUCAUUGGAAACUGGGAGACUUGAGUACAGAAGAGGAAAGUGGAAUUCCACGUGUAGCGGUGAAAUGCGUAGAUAUGUGGAGGAACACCAGUGGCGAAGGCGACUUUCUGGUCUGUAACUGACGCUGAUGCACGAAAGCGUGGGGAGCAAACAGG